AGCGAACGCUGGCGGCAGGCCUAACACAUGCAAGUCGAACGAACCCUUCGGAGUUAGUGGCGGACGGGUGAGUAACACGUGGGAACGUGCCUUUUGGUUCGGAAUAACUCAGGGAAACUUGUGCUAAUACCGAAUGUGCCCUUCGGGGGAAAGAUUUAUCGCCAUUAGAGCGGCCCGCGUCUGAUUAGCUAGUUGGUGAGGUAACGGCUCACCAAGGCGACGAUCAGUAGCUGGUCUGAGAGGAUGACCAGCCACACUGGGACUGAGACACGGCCCAGACUCCUACGGGAGGCAGCAGUGGGGAAUCUUGCGCAAUGGGCGAAAGCCUGACGCAGCCAUGCCGCGUGAAUGAUGAAGGUCUUAGGAUUGUAAAAUCCUUUCACCGGGGACGAUAAUGACGGUACCCGGAGAAGAAGCCCCGGCUAACUUCGUG
rnacentral:rRNA from 1 species